rnacentral:rRNA from 1 species
ACGAACGCUGGCGGCGUGCUUAACACAUGCAAGUCGAACGGAAAGGCCCUGCUUUUGUGGGGUGCUCGAGUGGCGAACGGGUGAGUAACACGUGAGUAACCUGCCCUUGACUUUGGGAUAACUUCAGGAAACUGGGGCUAAUACCGGAUAGGAGCUCCUGCUGCAUGGUGGGGGUUGGAAAGUUUCGGCGGUUGGGGAUGGACUCGCGGCUUAUCAGCUUGUUGGUGGGGUAGUGGCUUACCAAGGCUUUGACGGGUAGCCGGCCUGAGAGGGUGACCGGCAAAAUGGGAAUGGGAUAAGGGCCAGAACUCUAAGGGGAGGAAGAGGGGGGAAAAAUUGAACAAGGGGCGAAGGCUGAAGGAGGAAAGGCGGGGGGGGGAAGAAGGGCUUUGGGGUUGAAACCGCUUUCGCCUGUGACGAAGCGUGAGUGACGGUAAUGGGUAAAGAAGCACCGGCUAACUACGUG